GCAGUCGAACGCGGCCAUCCGGUGCUUGCACUGGUGAAGCCGAGCUGGCGAACGGGUGAGUAACACGUGAGAAACCUGCCCUGGAGUGGGGAAUAACUCGAAGAAAUUCGAGCUAAUACCGCAUACCUUCUCUUCACCGCAUGGUGAGUUGAAGAAAGAUUUAUCGCUCUAGGAGGGUCUCGCGGCCUAUCAGCUAGUUGGUGAGGUAAUGGCUCACCAAGGCAUCGACGGGUAGCUGGUCUGAGAGGACGAUCAGCCACACUGGGACUGAGACACGGGNCCANACUCAUACGGGAGGCAGCAGUAGGGAAUCUUGCGCAAUGGGCGAAAGCCUGGACGCAGCAAUGCCGCGUGCGGGACGAAGGCCCUAGGGUCGUAAACCGCUUUCAGUAGGGGACGAAAAUGACGGU
rnacentral:rRNA from 1 species